rnacentral:misc_RNA from 1 species
CACCACUCGAGUCUGACUCGGUAUUGGGCGCCGCGCAUCUGCCGCGCGCCUCAAAGUCCCCGGCUGGGCAGCCCGUCUCCGAGCGUUGUGGCAUCAAGUCUCGCUAGGGAGCCGCGGGCGGCGUCGGCCGUAAAACACCCAUCAAA